AAUUUUUGACAAUGGGGGAAACCCUGAUCCAGCCAUCCCGCGGGUAUGAUGAAGGCCUUCGGGUUGUCAAGUACUUUUGGCAGAGAAAAAAAGGUACCACCUAAUACUAGGUACUGUGGACGGUAUCUGCAGAAUAAGCACCGGGUAACUACGUGCCAGCAGCCGCGUUAAUACGUAGGGUGCAAGCGUUAAUCGGAAUUACUGGGCGUAAAGCGUGUGUAGGCGGUUCGGAAAGAAAGAUGUGAAAUCCCAGGGCUCAACCUUGGAACUGCAUUUUUAACUGCCGAGCUAGAGUAUGUCAGAGGGGGGUAGAAUUCCACGUGUAGCAGUGAAAUGCGUAGAUAUGUGGAGGAAUACCGAUGGCGAAGGCAGCCCCCUGGGAUAAUACUGACGCUCAGACACGAAAGCGUGGGGAGCAAACAG
rnacentral:rRNA from 1 species